rnacentral:misc_RNA from 1 species
UGGUUCUGGCAUCGAUGAAGAACGCAGCGAAAUGCGAUAAGUAAUGUGAAUUGCAGAAUUUAGUGAAUCAUCGAAUCUUUGAACGCACAUUGCGCCCACCGGUAUUCCGGUGGGCAUGCCUGUUCGAGCGUCAUUUCAAACCCUCAAGCCCUGUUGCUUGGUGUUGGGGUUGGCCCCUAGGCCGCCCUUAAAAAUAUUGGCAGGGCUACUUAGGCCUCUUAGCGCAGUAAUCUUUCUCGCUACAGAGUACUAAUAGUUCUGGCCACACAAGCCGUGCCUAGCACACUUCAAGGUUUGACCUCGGAUCAGGUAGGAAUACCCGCUGA